GGUUCAUCUUAGAAUUUAGGUGCUAUCCUACUUGAGCUUUUCUUCCAUACCUACCUCCCAUCUCUCCUUCUUUUCUUUUCAUUUUUUGACUUGUUGCCUUUUGUGUGUGUUUUCCGGUCAUUUUUCUUGACCUUGUAAGACCUUUUCUUGACCUUGUAAGACCCCGACUCUCGUCUUCUGUCCUUGCUUCUCAUCGUGUUUCACAAAAUAUACCGCGGAUUCGCCGUAUAUUUUCGUUCUUUGUGCUUCUUCGUUUCGUCUCAACUCGUCUUCUCCUUCCUUGUCUAUCCCUCCUGAGCUGUU
rnacentral:lncRNA from 1 species